rnacentral:lncRNA from 1 species
UGUGACUUAACUUUUUCUUUAGAUGCAAAUCUUUGCUUAGUCGGGAAGUAUGUCUAGUAUAGCAAAAAUUCUAUGCACUCCAUGUGUAAGAGAAGAUAAAAAUGUGGACGCUGCUAAAUAUUGCGUGGAAUGCAAUGAAAAUUUCUGUAGAUCAUGUUUAAGGCAGCACAUUAAACAUUUCUCGAGCGUUUCCCAACAUCAUAAAUUUCUGAACAGAGAUGAGAUGCCAGAGUGGCUUUCAGCACCGCCAAAGGAAGUGGAAAAUAGAUGUACAAGGCACCCAGAUAAUCAGCUGGACUCCUAUUGUGCGGACCACGAUUUAGGUAUGUUGCGGGGCGUGCGUGGUGAUCGAACACAGUUCAUGUGAACAUGUAAAAGACUUAUUUUCAAUCGGCGAUGAAGAUGAACCAAAGUCAGAAUUAGAAGUUCUCCUCAAAGAUCUACAGUUAAUGAUCGACAGAUUGAAAGCUCUAAAAGAAAGUCGAAGAAAAGACCAGUCCAACUUGAGAAAGUCUACAGCCGAAUCUUUGCAAUGUGUUCGUGAUUUUCGUCAGAAAGUAAACGAAAUAUUUGACGAACUAGAAAAAUAUGCUGUCGAAGAAAUUGAUACUGAAUGUAUAAGAGAAGAUGAUAUCAUUGAAUCAGAUAUAAAACAGACUGAAGAUUCGAUAGUUUUAUUAGGAAUGGCUAGUAAGCAAAUUAGAGAUUCGGAAGAACAGUCUGACAAGCCACACAUAGAAUCUAGUUUAAAUAUCGUAAAUGGAAGGAAACUGUUAAAAGAUAUGAAACAUGUGUGUCAAGAGUUACAGGGAUAAAAGAAAUGUCCAAAUGAUCAAUUUCAACGUCAAUCAACAAAUCGUGAAGUACAUAUCUGCUUUGACCAGUAUUGGAACAUGCAAAAGACAGUCUGGUAGAAAGAAUGAACCUCGACCCAAGAUGACCAGUUAUCGAGUGGAUGCUGAAGCAGACGAUGCAAUAUGCGAUAUCCAAGACGUUGUUCAGACCGGCUCUAGGGACAUUUCUUAUGUUAGACUGCUGAAAAUAAGAAAAUAAAGCUCUUUGAUGAAGCUCUCAAUGCAAUCAAGUCGUUUGACUUGAUAGGUGACAACAAAGAUGGGACGACUAAACAGUACACAUAUGAACCAUUCGCCAUAUGCUACACCACUGAUAAUCAAAUCGCCGUGUCAAUGGUUCGGGAUAAAGUUAUAAACCUGUACAACAUCGGAGAUGUACUAGAAACGGCAAAUGAAAUUCAUGUGGGUGAAUACUGUCGUGGACUUGCAUACAGCGCAGAGAAAGAGGAAAUCUACGUUGCUUGUGGUGGCGGAUCAUACACCGGAGAAGGUCUUGGACAUAUACGUAUCUAUAGUAUAAAAGGAGAGCUGAUGAGAGCAUUUAAGAAAGCCCAAGAUGGAAAAAUACUUUCAGCCACAACCAAUGCAUCUUGCUUUCAAUAUUGACGAAUCAAAGAUAUGCAUAGCUGAUAAUUAUAAAGGUGUCAUUGCGGAUCGAUACAGAGGGAAAGAUGCUGUCAACUUUUACGGCACCGGAACUGGCAGAAGCCACGUGGCAUUUGCGUUGACGUCAAUGAUGACGUCAUUGUAUGCGGAUAUGUCUCAAACAACGUUCUCAGAGUACACGGCGAUAUGAAAACAUACGACAUAUUAGUAACAGAAUCGGAUGGAAUAAAAAAUCCCCAGGCACUUGAAUACAUGGUGAUGUCAUCAAAAUGCCUAAUGGCCUCAAACUGUAUGAAUACGAUUCAUGUUUUUGAUAUUUAAAUACAUAACAAAACGUUUUAAGAAGCUAUAUCAUUAGUUGAAAUCACUUGACCCUCAUCGAUGUGGGUUCUAAACACCGCUUGGGGUGUAGAAUUCUUCAUGUGAGAAAGUCAUCCAGCUAGCGAACAGAAGGUCAGCGGUCUAUCAAGUACUCGCCCAUGCCUUCAACAAUGACUGUAGAGGCAUCUUGUGUCUUCACUGAAUUGUCAGCGAUCUGCGACGUAUGGCGACUUUAUCUCAGUUGACUGCUCGUUUUAAGUAAUUUCGUUACGAUGACGAUGUAAGACACGUGUUUCUUUCACACAGAUCUGGGGCUUCCGGUGAUUUUACCUAUGCAAGAAAAUAAACUCAUCUGACAUCCCCAAUGCGAAACACUCUCGUAUAACGAACUACAUUUAAUAUUUUAGAAGCCUCUUAGAUAUCGUUGCCUAUGGAAAACCGUUCUUUGCAGGCUAUGUUAGAAUGUUCGCUGUUCCAAAUUACUGCUAUAAUACAUAAAACUAUGAAUUCUAAAAAAAAAACCGGA